rnacentral:rRNA from 1 species
GCUUUCGAUGGUAGUGUAUUGGACUACCAUGGCUCUCACGGGUAACAGGGAAUUAGGGUUCGAUUCUGGAGAAGGAGCCUGAGAAACGGCUACUACAUCUACGGAAGGCAGCAGGCGCGUAAAUUACCCAAUCCUGACUCAGGGAGGUGGUGACAAGAUAUAAUGACGCUAUGAAAAAUAGUGAUUAUAGUGAGGGUAUUCCAAACCGAACCACAAGUACGAUUAGAGGGCAAG